GACGAACGCUGGCGGCGUGCUUAACACAUGCAAGUCGAACGGAAAGGCCCUGCUUGCAGGGUACUCGAGUGGCGAACGGGUGAGUAACACGUGGGUGAUCUGCCCUGCACUUCGGGAUAAGCCUGGGAAACUGGGUCUAAUACCGGAUAGGAGCCAUUUUUAGUGUGAUGGUUGGAAAGUUUUUUCGGUGUAGGAUGAGCUCGCGGCCUAUCAGCUUGUUGGUGGGGUAAUGGCCUACCAAGGCGGCGACGGGUAGCCGGCCUGAGAGGGUGGACGGCCACAUUGGGACUGAGAGACGGCCCAGACUCCUACGGGAGGCAGCAGUGGGGUAUAUUGCACAAUGGGCGCAAGCCUGAUGCAGCGACGCCGCGUGGGGGAUGACGGCCUUCGGGUUGUAAACUCCUUUCGCUAGGGACGAAGCUUUUGUGACGGUACCUAGAUAAGAAGCACCGGCUAACUACGUG
rnacentral:rRNA from 1 species